rnacentral:rRNA from 1 species
AGUGAACGCUGGCGGUAGGCCUAACACAUGCAAGUCGAACGGCAGCACAGUAAGAGCUUGCUCUUACGGGUGGCGAGUGGCGGACGGGUGAGGAAUACAUCGGAAUCUACUUUUUCGUGGGGGAUAACGUAGGGAAACUUACGCUAAUACCGCAUACGACCUACGGGUGAAAGCAGGGGAUCUUCGGACCUUGCGCGAUUGAAUGAGCCGAUGUCGGAUUAGCUAGUUGGCGGGGUAAAGGCCCACCAAGGCGACGAUCCGUAGCUGGUCUGAGAGGAUGAGCAGCGACACUGGAACUGAGACACGGUCCAGACUCCUACGGGAGGCAGCAGUGGGGAAUAUUGGACAAUGGGCGCAAGCCUGAUCCAGCCAUACCGCGUGGGUGAAGAAGGCCUUCGGGUUGUAAAGCCCUUUUGUUGGGAAAGAAAAGCAGCAGGUUAAUACCCCGCUGUUCUGACGGUACCCAAAGAAUAAGCACCGGCUAACUUCGUG